rnacentral:rRNA from 2 species
CAGGUAGGAAUACCCGCUGAACUUAAGCAUAUCAAUA